UACAAACACGGUACCUAACUACUGUACCGUAGGUAGGUAGGUGGGUAGGUAGGGUAAAUAGAUUUUUUUUUUCUCUUUCUUUCUUUUUAUUGGGGGGUGGGGGGCCCGUUGGGUUGGUGGGUUUGGGAUAGGGGAAGUAGCAGCGGCGGGGGUCUAGGUUAGAACGGCGAGGGUGAGGUAGCAGGGGUGGGAGGAGUAGGAGAGCGGCGGCCGGAGUGAGUGGGGGGAGUAGGAGAGGGCGUACGAGUUCGGCGAGCGGCGGUGGUACAGGCGGCGGCGCCGGCGCGAGUCCCGCGUCGCCGGAGGAGGGGCGAGCGACGGGGGGAGCGGAGGAGGUUCCGGCGGAGGAGUAAGAUGAGGCUGCUGCUACCGCCCUAUCAGAUCGCACCGGGCCGCGCCCGGAGCAGGCAGGGCUGGGGGACAGCCGCUCGAGCGGAGGAGGAGGUAGGAGAUGGAGAGCUCCGGUGAGGCCUGCCGGUACCUCGUCUCCCGGCGCCCGCCGCAAGAGGCUGCCAGAGAGUCCGAGCCCGACGGCUCUUGGCACUCCCGGGACUCGUGGUCGCGGUGAUGCGGCCGGCGCCGCCGCCUCCCUCUCCGCCGCCGGUUACGCUCUUCCUUGUUCUUCUUCUUGGAUAAGCUGCACCGCGUCAAGGAUGGCCUGACCCCGCAGCCGAUGUCCGGCGGUUCUGGUGGACCGCGCUGCAGAGGUUGGUCUAGUGGUUCUAGUUGGAGAUGUUCCUACCGGCGGUGCCCUUCCGCACCCCCUAAGCCGUGUUCCUGCCGCACGUUCGUCGGCCGUAAGGCUAUUCUUAGUCAUCCCAAUUGUUUGCACCAACCUUCAUGUAUUUCCGCGGCAACCUUCUAUAGGGACCUCGUCUCGGCGGUAGGCAGUGGCGACGAAUCAGUCAAUGGGUCGAUCUAUAAAUCGUCCGACGUUUUGACCAGGGACGCCUUCGAAUCACGGCUUUGAUAAGUCUUCGUAGUUCCCCUAGAAGCUGGCGAUGGUCGUCCGGUAGCCCUGGUCGGACACCUGGCUCGUCAUACUCCACUUCACGCUUAGGUUCAAGCUUCGACACUUCGUAUAGUUGUUUCUGAUCGUAUAAUACACAACAUUUACAUCCGUCAUCAUCCGAAUAGAUCCGACAUCAUAUGACAUUGCAAACAUUAUCUGAUCACGGCACAACAAAACCUGCUUAAAGUAAACGGUAAACCUAACAAACUUUAUUACUAACACAUACACUAAACUUAUGGGCAGUUUACCUUUGGACUGAUCCCCCAGGUUCAAGAUUACCAACAAACUAUCUAAAACUUUAAAAACUACACAC
rnacentral:rRNA from 1 species